rnacentral:misc_RNA from 1 species
GCUGGGUUCACAAGGAGUCAAAUGUAACCAGUCUCACUGGAUUUAGUUACCAGACAGUGUCAAAAUGGCCAUUAGAAGCUUGCAGUAUGUUUCUCUCUCUCUCCCUUCGAUUUGCUUGGUUGUUGGAGCUAGUAACCAGCAUUUAUGGCGGCUGAGGAGGAUCACCAACCUGCUGGAGCAACUGGAAGGCUUCAUCGGUGCUGCUGGGUCACUGGAAAAGAAGAAAGGCAAGGAGGGGGAUUAGUUGGCAUGAAGAAGGACGAAGGGAGGGGGAAGAAAU